rnacentral:rRNA from 1 species
ACGAACGCUGGCGGCAUGCCCAACACAUGCAAGUCGAACGAGACCUUCGGGUCUAGUGGCGCACGGGUGCGUAACGCGUGGGAACCUGCCCUUAGGUUCGGAAUAACUCCCCGAAAGGGGUGCUAAUACCGGAUAAUGUCUUCGGACCAAAGAUUUAUCGCCUUUGGAUGGGCCCGCGUUGGAUUAGCUAGUUGGUAGGGUAAAAGCCUACCAAGGCGACGAUCCAUAGCUGGUCUGAGAGGAUGAUCAGCCACACUGGGACUGAGACACGGCCCAGACUCCUACGGGAGGCAGCAGUGGGGAAUAUUGGACAAUGGGCGAAAGCCUGAUCCAGCAAUGCCGCGUGAGUGAUGAAGGCCUUAGGGUUGUAAAGCUCUUUUACCCGGGAUGAUAAUGACAGUACCGGGAGAAUAAGCUCCGGCUAACUCCGUG